AGCGAUAAAGGGUUUACGAUGGU
rnacentral:siRNA from 1 species